GGCCUCUUGCAUAGCCCAGGAGGAACUAUUCUAGAGUAGCUUGCUCCCCAGGGAGCUUUUGCUAUAUUUCCUCGUCUCCUUCUUCUUCUGGUCUGCUCAGAUGCCACGGAGAUGCUCCAGGAAGUAAUCCUGAAUUGGCUUCCUCAUUCCAGACAGCCCUGGGAUGGAGUGGGAAGGUGCAAUCUCAGGAAUCAGGAAGUACAGAGAGCUCGUGGUUCUCUAGAACUGGCCUUCCUCAAGCAGUAGGAUCCAUCCUCUCCUGUCAAUGUCAAGGUUGCCUUGGACAAAGCAAUGACCUUGUAGAGGAAGGAAGGCAGACUGCCCGAGUGUACUCUGGAGAGGAUGAACCAAGUGAGAAAUGGCGCUGGGGUACCUGAGUGAAAGAUCAGAAGACCUAGAAGGUUCUCUCUCACAGAUGAAGAUAAUGAGACUUUGCUUAUGUGUCUUCCUUCAGGACAAGAAGAAAAGACCCUGUCCUUGAACGCACGUGCACACGUGUGUGUGUGUGUGUGUGUGUGUGUGUGUGUGUGUGUGUAGCAGGGGUGCUGCUUAAAUUGAAGAGCAUUGGUAUUUCCCUUGUAAGUGUAAGAGUCUAUUGUGUGGCAGGCUCUCUCUGUUUUCACUCUACACAGCUCAACAGGCCCAGGGUGUCUGUGAGUGGGAAUUUAUUUUGGCAGCUCAUGUGGAAGGGAAGCCAAGGGCCUGAGGCGCUGCAGUUAAACACCACAUGUUAAUCUCCAUGUAUUUUGCGUAAUCCCAGUAAACAUUUUGAUCUCAGCAUAGGGUAAUCCAAAACCAAGCAGCUCCCAAGGGAGGCUUGUCCUUGAGGAGGCUCAGUCCUGAAGGAGCCUGCAUUGGAUAUGAAAGAAAGUGGCAAUCUAGUCAUACUAGGAAGUCCAUUCCAGCCACCACAUUAGAAUGUCCUCUGGCUAGAGUGACCAUGACAACCACAGAAUAGCAACACCAUGGUAAAGGAGGAAGGGUUUGGCUUGGCUUAGAGCUUAAGAAUGAAUAGAGUCCGUCCUGUUAGAGAAGUGUGGGGCAGCUGGUCUCAGUGCUAGUCUCAUUGAGUCUGCAGUCAAACAAAGAACAGAUAAUAGUGAGCUUGAGCUAUAAAGCCUCCAGGCCCACCCCUGCAACUCACUUUCUCCAGUAAGGCUUCAUCUUCCAAAAGUCCCACAAUUUCCCCCAAACAGUGCCACUAACUAGGGGCUGAGUGCUGAAAUACAUGAGUGUAUGCAGAGCAUUUUCCAUCCAAACCAUAUAAGCUAUAUUAGUAUGUGCAGAAUGAUGGCACCUGCCAAAGCCUAUAGGAUAGGGUGGCUGACUUGCCCUUGGAAACCUAGGAACAUGGAUGCAAUGGCCUGCAUGUGCUCUUGCAAUUCAUUUGUUGGAGAUGUAACUCUAAUGCAACUGGGGCUUAGUGGAAGGGGUUUGGGUCAAGGCUAAAACUUUCCAUGGGCAUGUCAAUGCCACCAUGAGAAUGGCUUCCUUGAAGGGGUGUGUGCUCUCUUGCCCUUCUGCUAUAGGAGGACUGAAAUCUCAUCUCUUCUUCCUCUGGCAUCUCUCAUUAGGUAAGGGCCUAGCAAGAAUUCCAUGUGCUAUUUAUUACCUUCAUUUCGAACUUCCCAGCUUCUAGCAUAGUCAGGAAAAUCCCUGGUCUUCAUCAGUUCCUAGCCUGAAGCAUUCUAUUAUGGAAGCAAAAAGAUGAAGAGUGUAGUCAAUAGGAAAGCAAAAUGUGCUGAGGCAGCCACUGAGGGUAUGGUGACAAGGCCCUGUUCUGCUGGGAUCUCCUAGAGCUGGAUCAUGAAGGCAGGGGUUCAGAGAGAAACCUCCAUAGAAGAAGAAAAAGGUUGCCAACUUGCACUUUUGGACCAAAACCCAAAGGCCAUGUGACAAAAUGGGCUCUGGGAGCUCUGAGAAGAGAAUUAUAGAAUGCUAACAUACUGGUGAUUAGUGCAGCUUGCAUAUCCACAUCCUCCAUGCUGCUCUGUCCUCUCCAUGUCCAUAGACCAUGAGAGGAGCUAGCAUUCUGGAUGAAGUGAGGUUCUUAGCAGGUAGGCACAGGCUUAGCUCAGAUAGGAGUAUAUGUCCAUAUGUAUGCAUGUAUUUAACAUUCACCUCAAAACUCUGUUAAUUUUCACCUAGCUCCCCUCUGUAACCUCUUACUGUCCCCAUGUGCACAUACACGCACCUAUGCACAUAUACACAUUUCCAUGCACACCUAUACACAUGCUCGUCCACCAUGCCUUCCUUCCUUUCAGAGAUGGGAAAAGUGAGUUUGUCAUAGCGGAUUGACAAGUGAACAUCGACAGAGCUGGACUGUAAAAUCCAUCUCUCUCUCUCUCUAGAGCCUCUGUUCGUUAUGCUCUACACGCUGUCUCCCACACUCAGACACUCUUCUUUCUUAAUGUUUCGAGAGCAUGGCACUUCCAAAUCAUCUGUAUUUUUGCUGGGAUGAUUUUCACUUGUAUCCAGCAGACCAAGAGUGAUGUGAGCCUGUGCAGUAAUCAUCCAGGACUCCAGAUAAAGGAGAGGCUGUUACCAUGGCUGGCAAGAAGUCACAGAAGAGGAUUAAAGUGUGUGUUACAUGUGCACAGGUGUGUGGGAGUGCUUAGACACAAGAAUUAGGAAGAUGGGUAAAUACAUAUAAAAUACAGACAUAAGAAAUGUAUUUGUAUUUCAUGAAAUAUCUAGUAUCAACCUUCUUGCUUAAUGUGAGUUUGGAGUGCUUGCAAUUAAACAUCGACUCUAUUGCUUACAAGGUAAUGACCUUUUUAAAGAUAAGUCUUUGCUAUCUUUAGCAGAGACUGGUUCAGGCUGGCCUCAGAUUCACCAUGCAGCCCAUACUAAUCUCAAACUUGCCAUACCUGCUUCAGCUUUCCAAGUGCUGAGAUUGCCAGUGUGCUCGGCAGGCUAAUGACUUUUGUCUAGUCACCUCCUGUCUUAGUUCCUUUUCCUCUUGCUGUGAUAAAGUGCUAUGAUGAAGGCAACCUAGGGGAGAAUUCUUUUAGCUCAAGCUCAUGGUACAGGAGCAUGAGGCAGUUGUUCACAUUACAUCCACAGUCAGAAGAGAGUAAUGGCUGUGUCUAUGCUAGCAUUGUUUAGUUUGCUGUCUCCAUUUUAUACAGUUCAGGAUCCCUGCCCAAGGAAUGGUCCCACUAACAAUUAAAACAACUCUUCCCACAUCAAUUCACAUGAUCAAAAUAAUCCCCCAGAAGCAUGCUCAGAGACCUGGUGAUUCUAGAUUCUGUCCAGUUGGCAAGGAACACUGCCAGUCACACCUACCCAAGUUUAUUUUUCUUCGUUUAAAGGAAGGAGGAUGUCUACUUCCAAGGGUUGUAACAAAGUCAUGCCAUAUCAGGAAUUCCGGUUUUUAGUUCCAGAAAUAGCCAUAAUAAUGGAAACAUAGCCUGACUGAGUUUCCUUACACAGAAGGCUAUGUAGAGGUAAGCAGCUGCAGAGGUAGCUUAAUGGUGUCACUGAUGUCUUGCCAGUUCUCUUUCCUGUUCCUUCAUGGUCCACUAUGACUGUCACAUCACCCUCCAUCACAUCUGUAUUUGGAUAGGAAGUGGUAAGGAGAAAAAAAGAUUCUGUUGGGAAAUCAAAAACUACCCAAAGAGCCUCACAAGCUUGCAUUUAUCAUGUGGAGGGCCACUUGGCCACAGCUGGUUGGAAGGUGCCUAAGAAGGAGUUAAACAUUAGACAGCUAACUUUGGCUGUCCUGGAUAAAGCCUUCAUGUUAGUGUGGGAUGAAUCACAUUUAUCUGCUUUGUGAAUUCUGACAAGUGUGCCAGGAGCUACAGGACAGGCAAGAUGAUGGCAGUGUGUUGCUUCUGGCCAUUUCAUUGAAUAAUGAACUAACCUACUUGAUGCUAGUGUGUUUACAUGCAAGGAGCCUCUUGGAUCUGGAAAUUAGAAUUAUUGGUGUAUUCGUUACUUCUAUUAUUGCCAUGGCAGAAUAUACAAGAGUACCUUAAGGUAGGAAGUGCUAGUUUUGGCUCACGGUUUGAGGAUACAGUCCAUCAUGGUGAGGAAGCAAUGGUGACAAAAUCAGGGAAUGGCUGGACACCUGGCAUCUUCAGCCAAGAAGCAGAGCAAGAUAAAAGCAAGAAGAAAAACGCUGUCUUAUUUUCUUUAUCCAGUCUGCAGUCUCAGUCUUCCCACCUCAGACCAGCCUUUCUGGAAACACCCCUAUAGACAUCUCCAGAGCUGUAGUUCCAAGGUAAUUCUAAGCCUAGUCAAGUUGACAGUGAAGGUUCACCAUCACAACUUGUGAGCAUGGUGAGGAGAAUUAUGGAGGAGUAGUUAAAAUAUAGAUAAUGUCCCCGUAUCCUUCACUAAGUUGGACAUUUCCAUCUGGAACAUGGACCCCAGUCUUGUCACCUUGAGUAUGUGAACAAACUAACUGGCCUUUGGACAGCAAAUUACUUUCCUUGAAUUAUACUAUCAAUGGCUUCCUUCUCUUCCUCUUCCAGCCUUGGAGAGCUACUAUGAAGAUCAGAGUAAUCACUGUUGAAAGAACUUUCAUUGGUUCUAAGGGCCAACUGGGUGGGAAACUGAGUGAGAGAAGAAAAAAAGAAAAAGAGUAGUUGUUUUUCAUCCAAGCCACAGUGAGAACUCUACUGCUCUGGUUUUUCUGUAUUGUGCAUUAGACAUAUAUAUGUUUUGCCCCCCAAGUCUCACUAAACAAAUGGAAAAAAGCAAUCAACUUAUAAUCAGUUCAUAUUACCUAAUAGACACUUAAUAAGGAUUGUUUACUUUGCUUCCCACACUAUAAAAAUACUAGUAGUGCUACUACUACUAAUAAACACUCCCCUAAACACAUGCCACUUGCAUCCAAUUAUGAGCAUGGUUGGUCCAGCAAUCCUGUGUGUUGAGAUCACAGCUCCGGUGCUCAUCUCCUAAACCAUCAGUUUCAGAUGACCAUCGGAGGACUCAUUUGUCUUGGGCAAGACUUUCUGCUGCAGCCAAAAUAGCCUGAACUUCCAUCUCUGCCCAGCUCCCUUUCACUUAGUGAAUCUGAUAAAUGGCCAAGGGGCUCUGCUUUCAGCAAUGGGUACGUUGAGCUAGAAAACAAUUAAAGUGACCGAUGCCUACUGAGAGGUGAUAAAUAUUCACUCGUCCACCCAAACAGAUGCCAGUUACAGCCUAAGAAUAUCGCACCAGGAGUCAGGGAAUUUGCUCUGGUCUGUAGCUCCUAGCUCAGGUGUUAGAAGAAAUUGGAUGAAAUGUAAAUAAUCAGGAAACAGAGAAGAUCAAGGAAGGGGCAUUUGUUUUUAUAUCCAUGUGAAGCCAUACUUGCAUACACAGCUAAGUGUGUCCCCUUUCUAGAAGUGACUGAGGCUUGUGAGCUCCUAGUUAAGGUUUGUAUAAUACAUCUUUGAGCCCCCACAUCAGGGUACUCAGGAACAAAGGCUAAAUUAGUGUUGUGGGAGGCCGGGGAACAACACCACUUAAACCUCUGUGUCUGGAGAUGGUGGCUAUCAUAGAAGGAGUGACAAUUCCAGGUAAAAUACAGGAAUAUCCAUCAUAGGAGAGUGGACAAAACUAGGGAUUCUGAAAUGCUGAAGUGGAAGCCACCUUUGAUGGGGUAGGGGACAGGGAGGAUUCAGUAAACUUCAUGGCACAGGUGGCAUUUAAAAUGAGUGCUAAGGAGGAAGCCCAGGAUUUAAGAACCUUUGCUGAUCUGACUGAGCACCCAAGGUUGGGUCCCAGCACCCAUGUCUGCCUGGCAGACCAAAUUGCCUGCAACUCUAGUUUCAGAAGAAUCAGGAGCCUCUUUUGGCCUCCACAGGCACCUAGAUACAUGUGCACAUUUAUACAAACAGGCACGCGCACGCGCGCGCACACACAUACACACACACAUGCACACACAGAAACACGCACAUUUUCACACAUACAUACACAUGCACACAACCUCAGAGCAAAAUAAAAAUAUCUUUAAAUUGGAUGCUGAGAUGUGGUGUCAGGCCAUUUGCAGGAGAUGUUGGCAAAGGCUAAGAGGAGACACAGUGGUUAUGGGCUGUGCUCUGAGUCAGUCUGAGCUUGGCAGAGUCUGUGGCUUGGUGACAAGACACCAAGUUCUGCCAAACUUCCACUUGUUCGUGAGGGCACUGAAGCUCACAGAAGGAACACUACGAGCCCAAGCUCACACAGCCAACUAAGGGUGGAAUUCCAUGAAAUUCAGGGUGGUUGCUAAGUAGCAAAUAAAGGCAGCAUCAGAGCACAAGUCAAGUGAGAUCGGCCAGUAGCCAGCUCACUGAAAGACAUUUUAAGCUAGGAGGUGGUACAGCCCUAGGUAGAAGGUCAAAGAGUGUCCUUACAGAAGGGGAAGGGGAGAUGUAGCAGGGAACACAACAUGGAAAUGAGGACCUUGGUACCAGGCCGAAUAGCGCCUGAUUGACAGGAAGGUUAACUGCAGCUCUUACUUGUGGAGAGUGAGUGUGUGGCAAAUGUUUUAUGUACAUCGUUUCUGAUAUUUAUGAAGAUCCUUCCAGGUAGAAAUAAUUACACCAUUUUUACAGAUUAAAAAAAGAGAGGGUCAAUGGU